GAACAAAUGGGUACCUUGGGACACACAUUCAAAAUAAAAUAACUCAAAGCACAACCACCGAAGCACCUGGCUGAGCUCGCGGAGCUUUCUAAGCCAUGGAGAUGGCGAUGACUGUGAUGAAUGUGGCAACUCUCCAACCCAAAUCUCUUCGACCCAAAAGCCCUUACCUUCUUCCAAACCCAAGAAGAGUCUUCAACUUCAAGGCCUCUUCUCUCCACAACCCUCAAGUCUCAUCAAUCGGAGCGCCAACUCUGGUGGGUCAAUUCGACCCAACAAUCCCCUUAGAGCGAGCCGUAACUCCACCCAGCUCAUGGUACACCGAUCCUUCCUUUUACUCUCUCGAACUCGACACCCUCUUCUACCGUGGAUGGCAGGGUGCAGGAUACACUGAACAGAUAAAAAAUCCCGGGGAGUUUUUCACUUGCAGAUUGGGAAACGCAGAGUUUGUUGUGUGCCGAGAUGGUGAUGGCAAGCUUCAAGCUUUCCACAAUGUAUGUCGACAUCAUGCCUCACUUCUUGCAUAUGGAAGCGGCCGCAAGUCGUGCUUUGUGUGCCCUUAUCAUGGAUGGACGUAUGGGUUAGACGGCGCACUUCUCAAGGCAACUAGAAUAACUGGAAUACAAAAUUUCAAUCAACAUGAGUUUGGGCUUAUAUCGGUGAAAGUAGCUACUUGGGGCCCGUUUGUUCUUCUCAAUAUGGAGCAGGAUGUUGAUAGUGAUACAGACAUAGUGGAAAAGGAAUGGCUUGGCAGCUCUUCAGAACUACUGAGUAACAAUGGGGUCGAUUCCUCAUUAAGUUUUGUUUGUAGACGUGAUUAUAUGAUUGAAUGUAACUGGAAGGUCUUUUGUGACAACUACUUAGAUGGCGGAUAUCAUGUGCCUUAUGCACAUAAAGGCCUUGCAUCUGGUCUUAAUCUUGAUCAUUACUCUACCACAAUAUAUGAAAAGGUCACCAUUCAAAAGUGUGAAGGUGGCUCAACAGAAAGAAGAAAUGAUUAUGAUCGGCUUGGAUCAAAAGCUCUAUAUGCUUUCGUUUAUCCUAAUUUCAUGAUUAAUAGGUUUCUCAUAGGUAUGGACCAUGGAUGGACACCAAUCUAGUACUGCCACUUGGACCAAGCAAAUGUCAAGUGAUAUUUGAUUACUUCAUUGAACCUUCUCUUAUGGAUAACAAAGAUUUUAUAGAGAGAAGUUUGAAAGACAGUGAAAGAGUACAGGUGGAAGAUGUCAUGCUAUGUGAAGGUGUCCAAAGAGGUCUUGAAUCACCUGCGUAUGAUAUCGGCCGAUACACUCCAACUGUCGAGAAUGCCAUGCACCAUUUCCAUUGUCUACUUCACAAGAGCCUGAAAAAAUGAGAAUUACCCGAUACAUUUUGGUAGAUGUGCUCCAACUGUCGAGAAUGCCAUGCACCAUUUCCGUUUUCUGCUUCACGAGAGCCUAUCGAACUUACAUCCUGAUUGUAUCCGUCCUCCUAUUUUAGUUUUAUAUCUUUCGUUCAUAUUUUAUGAAUAAUGAUGCAAG